rnacentral:rRNA from 1 species
UACGAAGGGUGCAAGCGUUACUCGGAAUUACUGGGCGUAAAGCGUGCGUAGGUGGUGCGUUAAGUCUGAUGUGAAAUCCCCGGGCUCAACCUGGGAAUGGCAUUGGAUACUGGCUCGCUAGAGUGCGGUAGAGGGUGGUGGAAUUCCCGGUGUAGCAGUGAAAUGCGUAGAGAUCGGGAGGAACAUCUGUGGCGAAGGCGGCCACCUGGACCAACACUGACACUGAGGCACGAAAGCGUGGGGAGCAAACAGG